rnacentral:rRNA from 1 species
CAUGCAAGUCGAACGAAGCCUUCGGGCUUAGUGGCGCACGGGUGCGUAACGCGUGGGAAUCUGCCUUGGGGUACGGAACAACAGUUAGAAAUGACUGCUAAUACCGUAUGAUGUCUUCGGACCAAAGAUUUAUCGCCCUGAGAUGAGCCCGCGUUGGAUUAGGUAGUUGGUGGGGUAAAGGCCUACCAAGCCGACGAUCCAUAGCUGGUCUGAGAGGAUGAUCAGCCACACUGGGACUGAGACACGGCCCAGACUCCUACGGGAGGCAGCAGUGGGGAAUAUUGGACAAUGGGCGAAAGCCUGAUCCAGCAAUGCCGCGUGAGUGAUGAAGGCCUUAGGGUUGUAAAGCUCUUUUACCCGGGAAGAUAAUGACUGUACCGGGAGAAUAAGCCCCGGCUAACUCCGUGCCAGCAGCCGCGGUAAUACGGAGGGGGCUAGCGUUGUUCGGAAUUACUGGGCGUAAAGCGCACGUAGGCGGCUUGGUAAGUUAGAGGUGAAAGCCCGGAGCUCAACUCCGGAAUUGCCUUUAAGACUGCC